rnacentral:lncRNA from 1 species
CACCUCAUUAGCGAACACUUACUAAUUAGUACUUGUUGUCAACCUACUGUGCGUGGAAGGAAGAGUAGAGAAGGAAACCAGAGUAGUUUUUGUGGAUGAUCAAUGCACAGCCAAAUAGAAGGAAUGAGGUGAGUGCCCAGAUAAACAAAUCACGAGUGUUUUGGAAACUUGUGUGUGUAUCAGAAUCCCCUGGAAGGCAAAUACCUGGUCCUUCUUCCCACAGCCCUUGAUUCAAGCACUCAGCUUCGUGGUGGAGAGCAGGAGUCUGCAGUUUAAAAUAUACAUGUAAUUUACAUGAAAGUGGGCUGUGCUUGGCUCUUGAGGACUUGAACCACAGACUGGUAUGUGAUGGGAGUAAUAGAAAUGACUUAAAAGGACACAUGUGCUGGGAGGUGGGGGAUGGGGUGGAAAAUGGUAUCUAAGAACCGAAAAUGGUAUCUGAGGGCACUUGCAUGGUCGCAAUGCAUUUGCCACAGCAGAUCAGGAGACUGCAAGGGGCUCUGCAGGUAUUGACACAGAUGUGUGCGUCGUGUCACUUUUUUCUCCAGGGAGCAUUGUUCUGGUUUACAUUGACUCAUCUCUGGGUCUGCUCCCCAUAGUUGUCAAAGCCUUUGAGAAAUAAAGAUGAAUAAAUCAUAAAUAAAAUAGUAAUGAUGAUGAUAAGUGGUCCCACUAAUAAUGCAGAAACAGUGGUAGCAAACAGCUGUUUGUUAAUACAGGAAGCACUUUUAAAGCACUUUUCAUGGUAUGGAUUAUUUCAUCCUCAUGACAACCCAGUGGUUUAAGAGCCACAUGCAGCCACAUUUCACACAUCAUUUUCUUGAGGCUCAGAGCAGUCUAGUACCUGUUUCAGGGUAUUCAGGGAGGAAUUAGCAGAGUUCAGUUGGACCCUCAGCAGUCUGACCCCACAGCUCAUGCUUGCCCCCACUGGAUUCCACUGCCUUUCCAGGACCACCCAGGGGCAUCAUUUGACCAACUGCAUCAGGAAAUUUUGAACAAGCCAUUUCUGUUCUGCAGACUGCAGUUUCUGUACCCCUUAAUAGGCUGGAAUCAGUAUAUCCACCUAUAUUUUUAAAUAAAUUAUUAUUAUUUUAA